rnacentral:snRNA from 1 species
AGAUAUGAGGGCGAGCUGGCUGUGACAUCUGUCACCCCAUUGAUCGCCAGGGUUGACUCGGCUCAUCUGGCCCGCUAGGCGGGUGUCCCCUUCCUCCCUCACUCACCUCCAUGUGCGUCCCUCCCAAAGAUGCUUGCUCCUUCAAGAGGACGGCCUUCCCCAAAUAGAGACGGACUGGCCUAAAGUAUACGAGUAGCUGCGCUCCCCUGCUAGAACCUCCAAACAAGCUUUCAAGAAUAUGGGAUUCUGGUGAACUUCACAGGAUGGAGGAUAAACUAUUAGUGGGGAUGUGGAUAUUUGAU